rnacentral:rRNA from 1 species
GAGUUUGAUCCUGGCUCAGAGUGAACGCUGGCGGUAGGCCUAACACAUGCAAGUCGAACGGCAGCACAGAGGAGCUUGCUCCUUGGGUGGCGAGUGGCGGACGGGUGAGGAAUACAUCGGAAUCUACUCUGUCGUGGGGGAUAACGUAGGGAAACUUACGCUAAUACCGCAUACGACCUACGGGUGAAAGCAGGGGAUCUUCGGACCUUGCGCGAUUGAAUGAGCCGAUGUCGGAUUAGCUAGUUGGCGGGUAAAGGCCCACCAAGGCGACGAUCCGUAGCUGGCCUGAGAGGAUGAUCAGCCACACUGGAACUGAGACACGGUCCAGACUUCUACGGGAGGCAGCAGUGGGGAAUAUUGGACAAUGGGCGCAAGCCUGAUCCAGCCAUACCGCGUGGGUGAAGAAGGCCUCGGUUGUAAGACC